UAUACAAAUAAACGGAAACCUAAAGAGAACUACUGUGAAGAAACAAGAAGUGAAGACUGAGAUGGCAAUGACUCUGAAAAUCUUAGCCAGGGCUGCUGAAAAGACCCAGUUGAUUCCAGGUGAAAAUGAUUGGGAUAACGUUGAUGACCCAUUACAUUUCUUCCCAGGUGCCUUUGGAAUUUUCAAGAGAGAAUUUGGAUAGGGCCUAUGGAAUUUUUCUCUCCUUUAUGUUCAAUAUAUAGGUUGCCCAUCUGCCAUGCUUGAAGGUUUGAAUUUCCCAUAUGCAACAAUCUUGAAGGUCCUGCUGGAGCAUUUGGCCAAUUUGCUGCUGGAAUUGGAAUCACUGAUGCAGGAUUUGUAUUGGGCCCUGGAAAGGUCCUGCUCAAGGUUUCUACUGUAAUUACAAGGAUCAUUAGCUGCUUUAGCAAUUUGAGAUUCUCUAGUGAGCACUAAUUUGAACCUAUAAUACCUUCAUCUUUAUUGAUUUAUUUUUAUGAUAAAAUUACUGUUUUUUGUUUUUUUUCAUGUGGAUGCAUAUAGAAUUUCAAAUCUUGUGUUCCAUCAAAAUAAAACUCUAGUCUUUUCAAGC